GACGAACCUGACGAACGUUAUUCGGAAUCACUGGGCUUAAAGGGUGCGUAGGCUGUGCAGAAGGUUGGGUGUGAAAUCCCUCGGCUUAACCGAGGAACUGCGCCCAAAACUACUGUGCUUGAGUGAGAUAGAGGUGAGCGGAACUUAGGGUGGAGCGGUGAAAUGCGUUGAUAUCCUAAGGAACACCGGUGGCGAAAGCGGCUCACUGGGUCUCAACUGACGCUGAUGCACGAAAGCUAGGGUAGCGAACGGG
rnacentral:rRNA from 1 species